AGAGUUUGAUCCUGGCUCAGAAUGAACGCUGGCGGCGUGCCUAACACAUGCAAGUCGGAUGUGCCCGCAAGGGUGCAUGGCAGACGGGUGAGUAACGCGUGGGGAAUCUACCUCUUUGUGGGGAAUAACGCUCCGAAAGGAGUGGUAAUACCGCAUGAGAUCCAUGGCUGGAAUGUUGUGGAUGAAACCUGGGGACCUUCGGGCCUGGGGCAAGGAGAGGAUCCUGCGUCUGAUUAGCUAGUUGGUGAGGUAGCGGCCCACCAAGGCAACGAUCAGUAGCCGGCCUGAGAGGGUGAUCGGCCACACUGGAACUGAGACACGGUCCAGACUCCUACGGGAGGCAGCAGUGGGGAAUUUUGCGCAAUGGGCGAAAGCCUGACGCAGCAACGCCGCGUGGGUGAUGAAGGUCUUCGG
rnacentral:rRNA from 1 species